rnacentral:miRNA from 1 species
CAGCACACCCAGUUAAAUUUGAAUUUCAGAUAAAGAACCAAAACUUUUAGUAUAAACAUGUCCCAUACAAUAUUUGGGACAUACUUAUACUAAGCAAUCAUUCCUUGUUUAUCUGAAAUUCAGACAUACCUAAGCAUUCUGU